CCACUUUACUUCGAGAACGCGAUCAGUGUUGGAGCAUUCCAUGCAUUCCAAAAGGGAAUUCUUGUUUCUGCUUCUGCUGGAAACUCGGUUUUCCCACGAACUGCGUGCAAUGUUGCUCCUUGGAUCUUCACUGUUGCUGCUAGCACAGUAGACAGGGAAUUCAGAUCAGAUAUCUACCUUGGAAAUUCAAAAGUUUUGAAGGUGAAGUUGAAAACACAAACCAUUUACAAAAAUAUUAAUCUAUAGUAUCAGCAUCAGUUAGUAAAUUAUGACUGCUUUAUGUUCAGGGUCUUUCUCUGAAUCCAAUAAAAAUGGAAGGUUCUUAUGGUUUGAUAUAUGGAAGUGCCGCUGCAGCCGCUGGAGAUGCAGCACUAAAUGCAAGGUAUAGGCAUUAGAUGACAAAGCACACAAUGACACAGACUUACUGCUGAUAAGUGUUUCAAAUUUUGUACAACUUACUGCUUCUUACAUUCUUGGCGUCUAACUUCUGCUAUUUGAUCAUUAAAACUUGGUAAAAAUUUUGUGGAUACUAGAACCACACAUGUAGUUUGACUCCCAAAAGAAAUGUCUAAAAUCUCCAUAUUUCUCAGAAUUUGUUUGUCGUUUCAUACGCAUAUUGUAUUGUAAUUGUUCUGAGUUCCCAUAUUCUGCGUAAAUGCAUGGGAAGAGUUUUAAGGUGAUGGCUAAUGACUGAACCCAAGAUUUUUUUUUCAUCCAAAUUCUUUGGUUUCUUUGUUACCAGCUUCUGCAAGGAACAUACUCUAGAUCCUACCUUAAUCAAGGGUAAAAUUGUGAUCUGCACAGUUGAAAAAUUCACUGAUAACAGACGAGAGAAGGCCAUAAUAAUAAAGCAAGGUGGGGGUGUUGGAAUGAUUCUUAUUGAUCACAAUGCCAGAGAUGUUGGUUUUCAAUUUGUCAUCCCAAGCACUAUGAUUGGUCAGGAUGCUGUAGAAGAGCUUCAAGCAUAUAUGAAGACUGAGAAGUGAGUUUCAAAAAAUGUCCAAUAUCCAAUUUAGUCACACUUUGUUGGCAAAAGAUUGAUCAAUGAAAUUUUCUUUUGCUAAUGCUUUUAUUGUGCCAGGAAUCCCACUGCUACAAUCUUCCCAACAUUAACUCUUGUUGGUACCAAACCUGCACCAGAAUCCGCAGCUUUCUCUUCCGUGGGACCAAAUAUAAUUACACCGGAUAUUAUUAAGGCAAGUUUACACAGUUGACUAUGUUUAAUCCUUCAUGAAUAGCAGAUUCUUCCUAGCUAAACUCUCUAUUGGCACAAAUGGAUAAAGAAGAUACAUUGUUAAAGGUUGAUCUCAUAAUCCUUAAGCUUUUUCGGUAGAAUUAGCCUCAGUCCAAGUUCUUUUGUGAUAUCAGUGUGAAUCUUAGAUACAUUGUUAGACCAACUGUUGGAAUUUGAAAUUAAAGAAUUGACUUGACUUCCCUAUAGAUAACCCAUGAUAGGGAUAAAGGCUUUGACCUCAACCACCUGAUAGAUAUUCCAUGAUAAGGAUAUGAACAUUCAGAUGAAUAUAAAGUUUGUGAUCUCCAUGCUCGAAAUGUAUAGUCCUAGGCGUGCUGGGAAGUGCUUAGUCUCACAUUGUCUAUAAAUAUGGUCAAUGAAGUACUUAUAAAUGGGAAGACAACCUUCGCAUCUAAGCUAGAUUUCUAGGUAUAGCUAGUUAGAAUCAGCCCAAAAUAUAAUAUACUUAUGAAGCGUUCUAUCGUAUGCAGCCUGAUAUCACAGGACCAGGAGUGAAUAUUUUGGCAGCAUGGUCUCCAGUGGCAACUGAAGCCACAGUUGAACAAAAAUCUGUCAACUAUAACAUCAUUUCAGGAACAUCAAUGUCUUGCCCACAUAUAUCUGCAAUUUCAGCAAUUAUAAAAUCUCACCACCCCUCCUGGAGUCCUGCAGCCAUAAUGUCUGCAAUAAUGACAUCAGGUAAGUUGCUCAUGCUAUAAAAGUUCCAGGCGUAAAAAUAAAAAACAUGAGCAUUGAUGUUUUUGUAAUGAUCCUAAAUAAAGAAGGAUCUGAGAACAAGAGAAACUAUAUCUCUACUAAGAUUAGGAAAUAUAUCUGAUAUGUAGUUAGGAUAUUAUACAUCUCUGUAAUUAGGAUUAUAUUGUCAGUAUAUAUAAGGACACAUGGAAACUAAUCUAAGUUACCCUAUAUUUCUUGAUAAUAUAAUCCUAAUUACAGAGAUAUAGUACCCUAAUUACAUGUUAAUAUAUUUCCAAAUCUCAGAAGAGAUAUAAUUUCUCUUACACCAGAUUCUCCUAUACUAAAUCAAUGCAUUUACUUUUGGUGUUACAGCAACAGUUAUGGAUAACACACACAGCCUCAUAGGAAGAGAUCCAAAUGGAACUCAAGCCACACCAUUUGACUAUGGAUCUGGACAUGUUAACCCAGUUGCAUCGCUAAAUCCUGGAUUAGUAUAUGAUUUUAGUUCCCAAGAUGUUCUCAAUUUUCUCUGCAGCAAUGGGGCAAGCCCGGCACAACUUAAAAACCUCACAGGGGAACUCACUCAAUGUCAGAAAUCUCCUACAGCUUCCUACAACUUCAACUAUCCUUCAAUUGGUGUGUCCAACUUGAAUGGAAGUUUAUCUGUUUAUCGCACAGUUACUUACUAUGGUCAGGAACCAACAGAGUAUUUUGCAAGUGUUGAAAGACCAUCUGGUGUGAUUGUUAGAGUUACACCAGCAAAACUGAAGUUCUGGAAAGCUGGAGAGAAGAUAACUUUCAGGAUUGAUUUCACCCCUUUCAAGAAUAGCAAUGGAAACUUUGUGUUUGGUGCCUUGACUUGGAACAAUGGUAAACAAAGGGUUAGAAGUCCUAUUGGUCUCAAUGUACUAUCUACUUAAGAGUUACAUUAUUCCUGGUCUGAAUUAUUAUAUAUCAUGUUUACACGUUAAGAAGAUGGAUUUAUAUCACUUAUUAAUUAAAAAAAAAAGACGACAUUAAGGAUCACUCAAGGAUACUGAUGUGAUACAUCAUCAGGACAUUGGUUUGGGUAUCACAUAUUUCAGUAAAGCUUUGGUAGCUAAUAAUGUAUGCAAGUUGAUAUAUGAAAAAGUUAAAGAAACCAUGGCACUGGUGUUAGAUGUACCUCAUUCCUAAACCUUUUGAGGCCUUUGUUGAUCAUAUGAGACUUGAAACAUUUUCUCUGACUAUGAAUUGCCAGCACUGAUCAACAAUAUUGUUUAGCUAAUUAAAUUUAUGCGGCAUCAAUUGAAGUCAUAUAUAUAUAUACACACAAUCAGGACCAGAAAAUAAGGUUGUUGAUGCCUUAUCUCGAGUAAUAUUGGGUUGAUCUGAGUAAUAUUAAGGACGAGUUUAAACUUGUCCUAAAUCUCAGGUGUUCAAAGUUAUCAUGGUUGUAAUCAACUGUAUUUCAAAGUAUGCCAAUUUUGAACCUGUCAAAUACCAACUUACAUCAAAGAAUGUUGCAAAUAUUUUCAUCAAAGAGGUGGUUCAAGUUGGACCUCAUUAUACCAAUUGAUCAUCAUAUGUUUCAUGUCUCCCAACUCCAGAAGGAUUUUGGGAAUUAUUCGUAUGCAGUUUGAUUUGCCUCAUAGCCUGGAAGUAUAGGAUCAUAUUCCUGUUGUGGUAGAAAUGAUCUUAGCUACCCAUAAAAACAAAAGUCAAGGCAGAACAUUAACUAAAUGGCUGAUUUUAUGGAAGCAUAUGCCUAUUGAGGAAUCUACUAUAUAGGGAGGUGGAAAGUAGGACUAUUAAGGGUCAAUUUGCUGUGUCUUUCCUUGAAGUAGGUUGUUAUUCAGA
rnacentral:lncRNA from 1 species